rnacentral:rRNA from 1 species
UACAGAGGUCUCAAGCGUUGUUCGGAUUCAUUGGGCGUAAAGCGCACGCAGGCGGAUGCGCGCGUGGGGUGUGAAAUCUGGCCGCUUAACGGCCAGGCGCCAUCCCAUACGGCGCGUCUGGAGUGAUGCAGAGGUCGGUGGAAUUGCCGGUGUAGUGGUGAAAUGGCGUAGAGAUCGGCAGGAACACCCAGGGGGAAACCCAGCCGACUGGGCAUCUAACUGACGCUGAGGUGCGAGAGCGUGGGGAGCGAACCGG